GACGAACGCUGGCGGCGUGCUUAACACAUGCAAGUCGAACGGAAACGCCCUGCUAGUUUGGGGUUCUCGAGUGGCGAACGGGUGAGUAACAGGUGAGUAACCUACCCUUCACUUUGGUAUAACUUCAGGAAACUGGACCUACUACCGUAUAGCAUCCCCUGUUCCAUUGAGGGGGUUGGAAAUUUUCGCCUGGUGGGGUUGGACUCGCGGCUUAUCGGCUUGUUGGUGGGGUAGUGGCUUACCAAUGAUUUCACGGGUAGCCGGCCGGAGAGGGUGACAGGCGACACUGGGACUGACAUGAGGCCGAGACUCCUACGGGAGGCAGCAGUGCGGAAUACUGAACCAUGGGCGGCAGGCUGAUGAAGCAACGCCGCGUGCGGGAUGGCGGCCUUGGGGUUGUAAAACGGCUGCGCCUGUGUACAAGGGUGAGUGAAGGUAAUGGAUAGAGAAGCAACGGCCAACUACCGG
rnacentral:rRNA from 1 species